rnacentral:rRNA from 1 species
UUGCACGCUGGCGGCAGGCCUAACCCCUGCAAGUCGCACGGUAACAGGAAGCAGCUUGCUGCUUCGCUGACGAGUGGCGGACGGGUGAGUAAUGUCUGGGAAGCUGCCUGAUGGAGGGGGAUAACUACUGGAAACGGUAGCUAAUACCGCAUAAUGUCGCAAGACCAAAGAGGGGGACCUUCGGGCCUCUUGCCAUCGGAUGUGCCCAGAUGGGAUUAGCUUGUUGGUGGGGUAACGGCUCACCAAGGCGACGAUCCCUAGCUGGUCUGAGAGGAUGACCAGCCACACUGGGACUGAGACACGGUCCAGACUCCUACGGGAGGCAGCAGUGGGGAAUAUUGCACAAUGGGCGCAGGCCUGAUGCAGCCAUGCCGCGUGUAUGAAGAAGGCCUUCGGGUUGUAAAGUACUUUCAGCGGGGAGGAAGGGAGUAAAGUUAAUACCUUUGCUCAUUGACGUUACCCGCAGAAGAAGCACCGGCUAACUCCGUG